AGCUGUGAACAUGACUUACCUCUGCGGUACAGCCAUUCCUCAGUGAAGCAAAAAGGGAGCACCACAAUGGUCAGAGCUAUGAAAGUGCAGAUACUUCAUGGAUGAUCUACAGACUUUCUAAUACAGCUAUCAACAUACAGACCAGUUUUCUCAGAGCUGCUGAUGAACCAGAUGGCAGGAGCAGCAGAAACCAAAGGAGGAGCAGGAAGCCUUUAAGAAUGAGAUUGCUAAAACACAGGGAAAAUGGAAGUGAAAAACUCGGCCUGGACAAAACCGAGCACCAGAAUGGAAAAGCAAGCCCUGGAGGAGCUUAGCCAAAAGGGGAAAGAAUAAAGAAAAGCAGCUCAGUUCUUCAAUUCAAAUUCCAAUUCUGUGCUUUCAGGAGAGGAGUCUUAGAGAAACUGAAGAACUGGCAUUGUCUCCUUUGUAGUUGCAGCUGCUCACAGUCACUGCCUCCAUGUUCCCAAACCUAGGCAGUGCCAAAAGCCUGCCGAUUUCCCAGGAUGUAGAAAAAGAGCACCUCAGAGUGACCAUC